GAUGAACGCUGGCGGUAUGCCUAACACAUGCAAGUCGUACGAGAGUUUUAAUUCUAGUGGCGGACGGGUGAGUAACACGUGAGAAUUACCUUUAGGAGGGGGAUAACAAUUGGAAACGACUGCUAAUACCCCAUAUUCCUUCUUAUCAUAAGGUAAGUUGGGAAAGAUUUAUUGCUAAAGGAUGGGGCUUUAUGGUAUCAGCUAGUUGGUGGGGUAACGGCCUACCAAGGCUAUGACACCUACCUGGUCUGAGAGGAUGAUCAGGCGCACUGGAACUGAGACACGGUCCAGACUCCUACGGGAGGCAGCAGUGGGGAAUAUUGCACAAUGGAGGAAACUCUGAUGCAGCAACGCCGCGUGGAGGAUGACGCAUUUCGGUGUGUAAACUCCUUUUAUAAGGGAAGAUAAUGACGGUACCUUAUGAAUAAGCACCGGCUAACUCCGUG
rnacentral:rRNA from 1 species